GAGUUGGGUCUCCCCCCUCGGGGGGAAACAAGGCCCGAACCUCCCACCCUUUGUUGUCGAACAAAAGUUUGUUGCUUUGGCGGGACCGUCCCCCCUCGGGGGGGCUGCCGGGCCCCACGGCCGGGCAUGCGCCCGCCAGAGACAAAACUCCAACUCUUUUUUGAAAAACAGUCUGAGCAAGUAAUUGAUAAAUCAAUCAAAACUUUCAACAACGGAUCUCUUGGUUCUGGCAUCGAUGAAGAACGCAGCGAAAUGCGAUAAGUAAUGUGAAUUGCAGAAAUUCAGUGAAUCAUCGAAUCUUUGAACGCACAUUGCGCCCCUUGGUAUUCCGGGGGGCAUGCCUGUUCGAGCGUCAUUACACCAAUCAAGCCUCGCUUGGUAUUGGGCCCCUUCGUCCCCGGCCGAAAACCCGCUCGCGGGCACUCAGGCGGGGGGCGGGCCUCAAACACUUCGGCGGAGUCUCACCGGCUUUGGGCGUAGCAGAAUAUGUUAAACGUCUACGGGCUCGGGGGGUCUCCCGCCGUCAACGCGGAACGUCGCGGCUCCGGCCGCGGCCUCCACAUCUUUCAAGGUUGACCUCGGAUCAGGUAGGAAUACCCGCUGAACUUAAGCAUAUCAAUAAGCGGAGGAAAAGAAACCAACAGGGAUUGCCUCAGUAACGGCGAGUGAAGCGGCAACAGCUCAAAUUUGAAAUCUGGCCCCUCCGGGGUCCGAGUUGUAAUUUGUAGAGGAUGCUUUUGGGCAGCCACCGGUCUAAGUUCCUUGGAACAGGACGUCACAGAGGGUGAGAAUCCCGUAUGUGGCCGGAAGGGCACCCUUCGUAAAGCUCCUUCGACGAGUCGGGUUGUUUGGGAAUGCAGCCCUAAAUGGGAGGUAAAUUUCUUCUAAAGCUAAAUACCGGCCAGAGACCGAUAGCGCACAAGUAGAGUGAUCGAAAGAUGAAAAGCACUUUGGAAAGAGAGUUAAAAAGCACGUGAAAUUGUUGAAAGGGAAGCGCUUGCAAUCAGUCUCGACGGCGUCUGUUCAGCCGGUCUUCUGACCGGUCACUCGGACGUCGCCGGGCCAGCAUCAGUUUUGGCGGCCGGAUAAAGGCCGCGGGAAUGUGGCCCCUCGGGGUGUUAUAGCCCGCGGUGUAAUACGGCCAGCCGGGACUGAGGUCCGCG
rnacentral:rRNA from 1 species